GGUCAAGCUAAUAAGGGCUUGUGGU
rnacentral:rRNA from 1 species